rnacentral:rRNA from 1 species
ACGCACGCUGGCGGCAUGCCUAACCCCUGCAAGUCGCACGCGACCUUCGGGUCUAGUGGCGCACGGGCGCGUCACGCGUGGGAACCUGCCUUUAGGUUCGGAAUAACUCAGAGAAAUUUGAGCUAAUACCGGAUGAUGUCUUCGGACCAAAGAUUUAUCGCCUUUAGAUGGGCCCGCGUUGGAUUAGCUAGUUGGUGGGGUAAAGGCCUACCAAGGCGACGAUCCAUAGCUGGUCUGAGAGGAUGAUCAGCCACACUGGGACUGAGACACGGCCCAGACUCCUACGGGAGGCAGCAGUGGGGAAUAUUGGACAAUGGGCGAAAGCCUGAUCCAGCAAUGCCGCGUGAGUGAUGAAGGCCUUAGGGUUGUAAAGCUCUUUUACCCGAGAUGAUAAUGACAGUAUCGGGAGAAUAAGCUCCGGCUAACUCCGUG